ACAGGCUUUUUUGAAGUCUAACAAAUUCAAAUUUUAUACGUUUCCUGUUUAGUUAUAAAAAUUUUAUGUUCAAAAUAUUUAAGCUGUGCUGUAUGUUGUUAUGUGUUAGUGUGUCGUUCCCCAAAUCCAACGGAUGUCCAGUUACAAGCCAAAGUUUACCUUGUAGAUUUCCGAGUCACUCAAAACUUGGACGCCUCGCAGUAUGCAGCAUUAAUUGUGGCAAUCGCCGUGUGGCAGGCUGAAAAGAAAGUUAAUAAGCGCAACACGUGCAGCGGUUUGCCAGAAACUAUAUUGCAACAAUAACAGCAACUAGUAAGAAAUAGAAAAGAAAAGCGUCGAGGUGGCCGGACGGCGACGGAGAACGGGGGCGGGCAGCGUGUCUGGACCACGGCCAAUGCGAAAGUUUGUUGAGCGAAACGGCUUUGAAGUCUAAUAGGAUUAGCCUUGCCCUGCUCUGCUUUGUCCUGCCUAAACGUCUAUCCACCCACCAUUUAGUGGGCGUGCUACUAUGGCUUUGUAUGUGUUUGUGUGGACGGUAGUGUGUGCGUGCACGUGUGUGCUUGUGCUGGCUAUAUUUGUGUUUCUGGCCAAGAAUCAGCAUUGAUAUAAAUAUCAUUAAAUAAUUCAAGGCAAA